CUGGCCGAAGAUAUUUGAAGAGUAGUUGUAUACUUAAAGAGGCUCGAAAGCCUGAGGAAAAGGCCACGUUUGGCCCUUCUUUCAAUGAAGAUGAAACAAGACAAGUCAGAUUCAAACUACUCCUGCAGGAAAUAAGGUUUUGCCAAUUAUUGAAUUGGUGCAAGCUUUAUCACAACAAUGUAGAAAAGACGGAUAGAACCAAAGGCGAUAAAAGCAGAGCCAUAUCCAGGAUGAAAGAGCUAAUGAGAUGGGCUACUGUUGUUGACAAGUCUGAGAAGGGAGGAAAGUACAUUGGUAGAAAGGUCUUGCAGUUUCGAAAUAGAUCCACUUUAAAGGUAGCGCUGGACGACAAUGAAUUUAGUAACGACUCUCCAAAAAUCAGUUUCGAAUGGGAUUUAGAGAGUUAUUCCACCAUUUCAACGGCUUCAUCUUUAAAACAUGAACUGAACACGAAUGCAGGAUAUUAGUGUAUUGGUACAAGUGGAAACUGGAUCACCACAAAUUCUGAAUUUGUCGUGCUAGAACUAUGAAGAUUGGAUUCGACUGAAGUUUCUAAUGGUAGAUUGAUCCUCAAGAGUGGUGUAUAAGGCAGU